rnacentral:lncRNA from 1 species
AACCGAACCUCAACCCGCCCGACAGGCUCCAACCCCAGUGUCUGGGACUGCCUGCUGCUGCCGCCUGUGCCUCUUUCCGAGGCCCCUGACCCCUUUCAUCCCCUCUUAGCCUUCACUUCACACUGCCCACUGACAUUCCCUGCUCUUCAGCCACACUGGGACCUGUCAUGUCCAAGCCGUCCGCCCUCAUAUCUGGCAGACAGCUCUGGCAGGAAUAGCUCUGAGCUCCCCCCGACACCCUCUUCCCUCUCUUGCUUCUCCUGCCUCUGUGAAUCAUCCUUCAGCACCUCUUCCAGAGUCACCUCCUCUUCUCCAUUUCUCUCUCCCUCCUUCAUCCCUCGAUUCCUCCUCCUCCUCCUUUAUCACUCUAUCCCUCCUCUUUCUUCAUUCCUCCAUUCCUUCUCUCUCCUUCCUCCGUUCCUCCUCUUCCUCCAUCCCUAUCCUCCUACUCUUUAUCCUACCUCUCUCCCUCCUUCAUCCCUCUAUUCCUCCUCACCCUCUCCUUAUCCUCCAUUCCUCCUUCUCUUCUCUUUUAUCCUGAAUCCCUUCUCCCAUUCAUCACUGUUAUCGGCCAUCCCUCCUCUUCUUCAUUCCUCCCUCUCUCCCCUCUCCUUCCCUAUUCUUCCUUCAUCCCUCUAUUCCUCUUCCUCCUCCUUUAUCACUCUAUCCCUCCUCUUUCUUCAUCCAGCCAAAAACAAGUCUUCCUUCCUCCAUCCCUCUUCCUUAUCCUCUAUCCUUCCUCCUCUUCCUCUUCCCUCCUUCACCUGCAUGGCUUCACCCUCAAGGCUCUGCUCUUCUUAUUCUUCUCUCUCUCCUGAAGCCAAUCCAUUCAUUUUUUCAAAGGCAAAUAAUGCAAACUGAGGAAAGUCCCAGAGAGGCUUGGAGCCAAGAGGAACCCCUUGGCUGGCCCCUUUCAGGGCAGUGAGUUCCAUGGAAAGAAUUCUGGGAAGGAAAUCAGUGGACCUGGGACUUGAAUCAAUCCACCAACUGGUACCCAGCAUUUAUGAACAGGUGAUGCCUGGAACAGUCUCUGCCCACUCUCAAGCAGUGGACAGUUAGGGUCCUUCAUCUAGAGCCAGAAGAGACCUCAGAGAUCAUCUGGUUAAAUCCCUUCACUUGUCAGAAGAGGGAUUUGAGGCUCAUAGAGGUAGAGACCUGCCCAAGAUCCCAUCAGGGUAGUUGGCAGAGCCUGGACUGGGACUCAGUCAUAGUGAGUGAGUCCUUCCCUAGUUCUGGUCCUGAAGCUUCUACUUACUACCGUGUGGCCUUGGGCAAGUCACUGCCCUUUUCUUUUUCUUUUUUAUUAACAGAAAAUUUUAUUUAUUUAUUUAUUUAUUAACAGGAAAAAAAUUAACAUUUGUUUAUUGAGCAG